UUCUGUUCCCAGACGACUAAAUAUUAGGUCGUCUGAUGUACAUUAUCAGCCAGAAUAAGUCGUCUAAACCGGACCAAACCUUAAAGUUUACCAAUGUACUUUUAAAGCUAACCGGAUUAUUUACCCAAUAUAUAAGGUGAUUUUUUUUUUUUUUUUUUUCAUUUUCCGCGAACAGAAACCCUAACAGUUCUCUCUCACCGGCGAUAUCAAAGGCGAUUCGAAUUCCCACUAUUUCCGAACAACCAUCGUUCUCAACGUCGGCUAUCUAUCUCACUUCAUUCUCACCGUUGUCGCCGCAGCUUCUUCUAACCCUAGCGCCGCCGAUUCCUCUAAACCCUAGCGCCCCCGCUUCCACUAUUUCCGAACAAACCGUCGCCCUCGCCACCGUGCUCACCAACGUUCUCACCGCCGCUUACUCUAAACACUAGCUAGCACCGCCGUUUCUUCUAAACCCUAGCGCCGCCGCUUCUUCUAAACCCUAGCGCCGCCGCUUCUUCUCUGUAAACCGUAGCGCCGUUUCUCUGUAAACCCUAACGCCGAUCUAUAACCACAAUGACGAGUACUCGAACUCCUUCUGCGACUAAUCAG